rfam:TPA: Bos taurus chromosome 2, whole genome shotgun sequence.
UCCCUGACAGUCCAGUGGUUAGGACUGGGCGUUUUCACUGCCAAGGGUUCAGGUUCAAUCCCUCAUCAGGGAG